rnacentral:tRNA from 1 species
GGGUCCGUGGGGUAGCUUGGACAUCCUUCCAGCUUUGGGAGCUGGGAACUCGCGUUCAAAUCGCGACGGACCCA